rnacentral:rRNA from 1 species
CUGGCUCAGAACGAACGCUGGCAGCGUGGAUUAGGCAUGCAAGUCGAACGGGAUCGGGAAGGUAGCAAUAUCGGCCCGUGAGAGUGGCGGAAGGGCGAGGAACACGUGGCAACCUGUCCUUGAGGUGGGGAAAACCGUUGGAAACGACGGCUAAUACCGAAUGUGGCGCCGGGAGGCAUCUUCCGCGCGCUAAAGGGGGCCGCAAGGCUCCCCCUCUUCGAGGGGCUCGCGCACCAUCAGCUUGUUGGCGGGUAACGGCCCACCAAGGCUCACGGUUAGCUGGUCUGAGAGGAUGGCCAGCCGCACUGGGACUGAGAUACUGCCCAGACUCCUACGGGAGGCUGCAGUCGAGGAUCAUUUGCAAUGGGCGAAAGCCUGACAAUGCGACGCUGCGUGGAGGAUGAAGGCCUUCGGGUUGUAAACUCCUGUCAUGGGGGAACAGGCGAGGGGAGUUAAUACCUCCCUUAGUUGAGUGUACCCCAAGAGGAAUUGGCGGCUAACUCUGUGCCAGCCGCGGC